UUAUGGCCAUAUCACAUUGAAACACCGGUUCUCGUACGAUCACCGAAAUUAAGCAACAUUGUGUAUGGUCAGCACCUACAUGACUGACUGCUUGGGAAUACCAGAUGCU